UCCCUUUUUGUAGCUAUGUAGGAUGCAAUCUGAAAACAUAUUAAGGCAAAUAGCAGAUAGUGAAGCCUUCGUUUUACAGCACAGCAGACACUUUAUUGAAAAUGGGUACCUCUCUAAGUCAGCCAGAAUGCAAGGCAAAGUCAGAGCAACAGGUUGAGAGACUUCAGUAGGUAUUUAAAACCUGACUGCUCCUUUCCACAGAAAGAUGUCUUAAUAAACUAUUUAUUCACUCUUUUUAGUGGCUUUAAACACAUGAAUAUGACCUAACAGCCUUCUUACAUAGAAAAUGGGAAAUAACUCAUUUGAAGUCAGGUUGUUCUAAUGUCUUCUAUCCUGGCAAAGCAGCUACAGUCACUGUGCAGACAACUUGCUGAACAUUGUCUUCCAGAAUGUCCACCUGAUAAUCUGAUUGAGUAGUAUGAAUGCUGUUUCCUUCUACUGACCAGGAUUCCUACCUUGAUGAAGAUUCUGGUAAGGUAGCAU